rnacentral:rRNA from 1 species
CCCUUAGAUGUUCUGGGCUGCACGCGCGCUACACUGAUGCGAUCAACAAGUUUUUCCUAUGUCGAUAGACACGGGUAAUCUUUUGAACUCGCAUCGUGAUGGGGAUAGAUUAUUGUAAUUAUUAAUCUUCAACGAGGAAUUCCUAGUAGGUGCAAAUCAUCAGUUUGCAUCGAUUACGUCCCUGCCCUUUGUACACACCGCCCGUCGCUGCUACCGAUUGGUUGGUCUGGUGAAUUAUUCGGACUGCCGGCUGAAGGGGUUUCCUCAUCUGCCAGCGGAAAGUCUUGUUAACCCUAUCAACUAGAGGAAGCAGAAGUCGUAACA